GACGAACGCUGGCGGCGUGCUUAACACAUGCAAGUCGAACGGAGGAUUUAUUUCGGUAAAUCCUUAGUGGCGAACGGGUGAGUAACGCGUGGGCAAUCUGCCCUUCAGAUGGGGACAACAUCCCGAAAGGGGUGCUAAUACCGAAUACGAUCACGCUGCCGCAUGGCGGUGUGAUGAAAGAUGGCCUCUAUUUAUAAGCUAUCGCUGAAGGAUGAGCCUGCGUCUGAUUAGCUAGUUGGUGGGGUAACGGCCUACCAAGGCGAUGAUCAGUAGCCGGUCUGAGAGGAUGAACGGCCACAUUGGGACUGAGACACGGCCCAAACUCCUACGGGAGGCAGCAGUGGGGAAUAUUCCGCAAUGGACGAAAGUCUGACGGAGCAACGCCGCGUGAGUGAUGAAGGUUUUCGGACUGUAAAACUCUGUUGUUUAGGACGAAAGUGCCUGUUGCGAACAGUUGCAGGUAUUGACGGUACUGAACGAGGAAGCCACGGCUAACUAGGUGCCAGCAGCCGCCGUAAUAC
rnacentral:rRNA from 1 species